rnacentral:lncRNA from 1 species
GUCUUUGCCACUUCUCACCGUGGCCACUAGAGAGCGACAGUGCUCCAUCUUCUAGAAAGAAACCGUCCAAUCCCCGCGCCUUCUGCCGAGGAGCCUGGCGAGCCACCUCCCUGAACUUCAGGACUUUCAGUUUCACUCCCUUAUGGACCUGAGGGUGAUCACCAACCGGCGGGGCCUCUGGGGGUUCUACUUAACGCCGUUUUGGCAGCAGCUCACUGACUGCAAUGUGCCCAGCAUUUCCAAUGAAGAGGAGGUUCUGUGAAGCGCACAGCAGGUUCUGGUCAAGAAGGCAGCCUUUGGGCACCCACCUCAACAGACCCAAGGCAGCGGAUGGCCAAGAGAGCCCAGUGGAUUCUGCCCCAAAUAUCUCAUUUCCCUCUUAGUGUCACCUCUGCCAGCAUCACAGCUGGGGCACAGUCCUCUCUGCUCUAUCCUCACAGCACCUCACACGUACUAGGUACUCAGCAAAUGUUUCUGGAGUAUCUUUGUGUGCGUUAUGUGGUGCUGUUUUAUCAAACCCCUGAACAC